GGGGAUUUGGCUCAGUGGUAGAGCGCUUGCCUAGGAAGCGCAAGGCCCUGGGUUCGGUCCCCAGCCCCC
rfam:Rattus norvegicus chromosome 1, whole genome shotgun sequence.